rnacentral:lncRNA from 1 species
CAGGAGGGAGGAUGGUGCAGGCAGGGGUGAGGAGCGCAGCGGGCGGCGAGCGGGAGGCACUGGCCUCCAGAGCCCGUGGCCAAGGCGGGCCUCGCGGGCGGCGACGGAGCCGGGAUCGGUGCCUCAGCGUUCGGGCUGGAGACGAGGCCAGGUCUCCAGCUGGGGUGGACGUGCCCACCAGCUGCCGAAGGCCAAGACGCCAGGUCCGGUGGACGUGACAAGCAGGACAUGACAUGGUCCGGUGUGACGGCGAGGACAGAGGAGGCGCGUCCGGCCUUCCUGAACACCUUAGGCUGGUGGGGCUGCGGCAAGAAGCGGGUCUGUUUCUUUACUUCCUCCACGGAGUCGGCACACUAUGGCUGCCCUCUGGGCUCCCAGAACCCACAACAUGAAAGGAAUCGGCUCUGGAAGGUGAAGCUAGAGGAACCAGACCUCAUCAGCCCAACAUCAAAGACACCAUCGGAACAGCAGCGCCCGCAGCACCCACCCCGCACCGGCGACUCCAUCUUCAUGGCCACCCCCUGCGGCGGACGGUUGACCACCAGCCACCACAUCAUCCCAGAGCUGAGCUCCUCCAGCGGGAUGACGCCGUCCCCACCACCUCCCUCUUCUUCUUUUUCAUCCUUCUGUCUCUUUGUUUCUGAGCUUUCCUGUCUUUCCUUUUUUCUGAGAGAUUCAAAGCCUCCACGACUCUGUUUCCCCCGUCCCUUCUGAAUUUAAUUUGCACUAAGUCAUUUGCACUGGUUGGAGUUGUGGAGACGGCCUUGAGUCUCAGUACGAGUGUGCGUGAGUGUGAGCCACCUUGGCAAGUGCCUGUGCAGGGCCCGGCCGCCCUCCAUCUGGGCCGGGUGACUGGGCGCCGGCUGUGUGCCCGAGGCCUCACCCUGCCCUCGCCUAGUCUGGAAGCUCCGACCGACAUCACGGAGCAGCCUUCAAGCAUUCCAUUACGCCCCAUCUCGCUCUGUGCCCCUCCCCACCAGGGCUUCAGCAGGAGCCCUGGACUCAUCAUCAAUAAACACUGUUACAGCAA